GAUGAACGCUGGCGGUAUGCCUAACACAUGCAAGUCGAACGGUGUUUUCGGACACAGUGGCGGACGGGUGAGUAACGCGUGAGAAUCUGCCUUCAGGAUGGGGAUAACAGGGAGAAAUCGCUGCUAAGACCCAAUGUGCAGAAAUGUGAAAGUAUUUAUAGCCUGAAGAGGAGCUCGCGUCCGAUUAGUUAGUUGGUGAGGUAAAGGCUCACCAAGGCAGCGAUCGGUAGCUGGUCUGAGAGGAUGAGCAGCCACACUGGGACUGAGACACGGCCCAGACUCCUACGGGAGGCAGCAGUGGGGAAUUUUCCGCAAUGGGCGAAAGCCUGACGGAGCAAUACCGCGUGAGGGAGGAAGGCUUUGGGUUGUAAACCUCUUUUGUUAAGGAAGAAGAAGUGACGGUACUUAACGAAUCAGCAUCGGCUAACUCCGUGCCAGCCGCCGCGGUAAU
rnacentral:rRNA from 1 species